AACCUCCGCAAUGUGAGAAAUCGCGACGGGGGGAUCCCAAGUGCCAUUCUUAACGGGAUGGCUUUUCAUUAGUGUAAAAAGCUUUUGGAAUAAGAGCUGGGCAAGACCGGUGUCAGCCGCCGCGGUAACACCGGCAGCUCUAGUGGUAGCAAUUUUUAUUGGGCCUAAAGCGUCCGUAGCCGGUUUAAUAAGUCUCUGGUGAAAUCCUGUAGCUUAACUGUGGGAAUUGCUGGAGAUACUAUUAGACUUGAGACCGGGAGAGGUUAGAGGUACUCCCAGGGUAGAGGUGAAAUUCUGUAAUCCUGGGAGGACCGCCUGUUGCGAAGGCGUCUAACUGGAACGGUUCUGACGGUGAGGGACGAAAGUUAGGGGCGCGAACCGGAUUAGAUACCCGGGUAGUCCUAACUGUAAACGAUGCGGACUUGGUGUUGGGGUGGCUUUGAGCUGCUCCAGUGCCGAAGGGAAGCUGUUAAGUCCGCCGCCUGGGAAGUACGGUCGCAAGACUGAAACUUAAAGGAAUU
rnacentral:rRNA from 1 species